UGUGAUCUCAUCCUAGCCAUUACCACUCUCU
rnacentral:piRNA from 1 species